AGUGAACGCUGGCGGUAGGCCUAACACAUGCAAGUCGAACGGCAGCACAGGAGAGCUUGCUCUCUGGGUGGCGAGUGGCGGACGGGUGAGGAAUACAUCGGAAUCUGCCCAGUCGUGGGGGAUAACGUAGGGAAACUUACGCUAAUACCGCAUACGACCUUCGGGUGAAAGAGGGGGAUCGCAAGACCUCUCGCGAUUGGAUGAGCCGAUGUCGGAUUAGCUAGUUGGCGGGGUAAUGGCCCACCAAGGCGACGAUCCGUAGCUGGUCUGAGAGGAUGAUCAGCCACACUGGAACUGAGACACGGUCCAGACUCCUACGGGAGGCAGCAGUGGGGAAUAUUGGACAAUGGGCGCAAGCCUGAUCCAGCCAUACCGCGUGGGUGAAGAAGGCCUUCGGGUUGUAAAGCCCUUUUGUUGGGAUAGAAAUCUUUCAGGCUAAUACCCUGGGAGGAUGACGGUACCCAAAGAAUAAGCACCGGCUAACUUCGUG
rnacentral:rRNA from 1 species